rnacentral:rRNA from 13 species
CCAGCAGCCGCGGUAAUACGGAGGAUCCAAGCGUUAUCCGGAAUCAUUGGGUUUAAAGGGUCCGCAGGCGGUUGUUUAAGUCAGAGGUGAAAGUUUGCAGCUCAACUGUAAAAUUGCCUUUGAUACUGAAUAACUUGAGUUAUAAUGAAGUGGUUAGAAUAUGUAGUGUAGCGGUGAAAUGCAUAGAUAUUACAUAGAAUACCGAUUGCGAAGGCAGAUCACUAAUUAUAUACUGACGCUGAGGGACGAAAGCGUGGGGAGCGAACAGGA